AUUGAAACACCAAUUCUCAUACGAUCACUGAAGUUAAGACAUGUCAAGCCUAGUCAGUACCUAGAUGGGUGAUUGUUUGGCAAUACCAGGUGCUGUAAG